UGCUUAACACAUGCAAGUCGAACGGGUGUAGCAAUACAUCAGUGGCAAACGGGUGAGGAAUGUAGAGGAAUCUUCCCAGCAGUAAGGAAUAACUCUGAGAAAUCAGUGCUAAUGCCAUAUAUCACCCCCUAAUUUAAUAGUUGGGGGGGAAAGAUUUAUCGCUGUUGGAUGAGCCUCUAUCGGAUUAGCUAGUUGGUGAGGUAAUGGCUCACCAAGGCAAUGAUCCGUAGCUGGUCUGAGAGGAUGAUCAGCCACACUGGAACUGAGACACGGUCCAGACUCCUACGGGAGGCAGCAGUGGGGAAUAUUGGACAAUGGGCGCAAGCCUGAUCCAGCAAUACCGCGUGGGUGUUGAAGGUCUUCGGAUUGUAAAGCCC
rnacentral:rRNA from 1 species